AAAACAUUGAGUUUAUAUUAGUAUCCUUUUUGUAUUGGUGUUUCUUUGACACUGUUUGUGUACUAUGUUAUUGUGUCCUAGAUUCUGUUUGUAUCAAGAUCAAACUGCAACAAACACAAAUGAUGUCUAAUAGCACAUCAGAGACAGUAAUGCUUUGGCCUUAAUCCCACGUACAGAAGUUCAUCUCUGAUAUGCUAUUAAAAUUAAUUCAUACCAUGCUUCCAGCGUUUGUUCUGAGCUUAGUUUGCAUUAUGCAUAUGCUAAUAGGG